UACGGGGGGAGCAAGCGUUGUUCGGAUUUACUGGGCGUAAAGGGCGCGUAGGCGGCGCAACAAGUCACUUGUGAAAAUCUCCGGGGCUUAACCCGGAGCGGCCAAGUGAUACUGCCGUGCUAGAGUGCGGAAGGGGCUACUGGAAUUCUCGGUGUAGCGGAUGAAAUGCGUAGAUAUCGAGAGGAACACCUGCGGCGAAGGCGGGUUGCUGGGCUGAUACUGACGCUCAUGCACGAAAGCGUGGGGAGCAAACCAGG
rnacentral:rRNA from 1 species